rnacentral:rRNA from 1 species
GUGGCGGACGGGUGAGGAACGCGUGAGAACCUGCCUCAAGGUCGGGGACAACAGUUGGAAACGACUGCUAAUACCGGAUGAGCCUUCGGGUAAAAGAUUUAUCGCCUAGAGAGGGGCUCGCGUCUGAUUAGCUAGAUGGUGAGGUAAAGGCUUACCAUGGCGACGAUCAGUAGCUGGUCUGAGAGGAUGAGCAGCCACACUGGGACUGAGACACGGCCCAGACUCCUACGGGAGGCAGCAGUGGGGAAUUUUCCGCAAUGGGCGAAAGCCUGACGGAGCAAUACCGCGUGAGGGAGGAAGGCUCUCGGGUUGUAAACCUCAAAACUUAGGGAAGAAAAAAAUGACGGUACCUAAUGUAAGCAUCGGCUAACUCCGUGCCAGCAGCCGCGGUAAUACGGAGGAUGCAAGCGUUAUCCGGAAUCAUUGGGCGUAAAGAGUCCGUAGGUGGCACUUCAAGUCUGCUUUCAAAGACCGAAGCUCAACUUCGGAAAGGGAGUGGAAACUGAAGAGCUAGAGUAUAGUAGGGGUAGAGGGAAUUCCUAGUGUAGCGGUGAAAUGCGUAGAGAUUAGGAAGAACACCAGUGGCGAAGGCGCUCUACUGGGCAUAUACUGAUACUGAGGGACGAAAGCUAGGGGAGCGAAAGGGAUUAGAUACCCCUGUAGUCCUA